rnacentral:rRNA from 1 species
GACGUAUGUACCGGUGAUCACGUGGCUAGUGUGUCGAUGAAGAGCGCAGCAAACUGUGUGAAUUAAUGUGAACUGCAACCUGCCAUGAACAUCGACAACUUGAUUGCACAUUGCGGCCAUGGGUUAGCCUGUGGCCACGCCUGUCCGAGAGUCGG